rnacentral:rRNA from 1 species
UACGGGGGGGGCAAGCGUUGUUCGGAAUUACUGGGCGUAAAGGGCUCGUAGGCGGCCAACUAAGUCCGACGUGAAAUCCCCAGGCUUAACCUGGGAACUGCGUCGGAUACUGGAUGGCUUGAAUUCGGGAGAGGGAUGUGGAAUUCCAGGUGUAGCGGUGAAAUGCGUAGAUAUCUGGAGGAACACCGGUGGCGAAGGCGGCAUCCUGGACCGGUAUUGACGCUGAUGCGCGAAAGCCAGGGGAGCAAACGGG